GGUAGUGGUAGCUCAGUGGUUAAGAUGUCGGCCUACUAAUCAGACGGUCAUGAGUUCAAUCUCCAGCACCACCA